UGCGGGCGGAAUGUCAUCGAUGCAUCC
rnacentral:sRNA from 1 species